UAGGGAAUCUUCGGCAAUGGACGGAAGUCUGACCGAGCAACGCCGCGUGAGUGAAGAAGGUUUUCGGGUCGUAAAGCUCUGUUGUAAGAGAAGAACGAGUGUGAGAGUGGAAAGUUCACACUGUGACGGUAUCUUACCAGAAAGGGACGGCUAACUACGUGCCAGCAGCCGCGGUAAUACGUAGGUCCCGAGCGUUGUCCGGAUUUAUUGGGCGUAAAGCGAGCGCAGGCGGUUAGAUAAGUCUGAAGUUAAAGGCUGUGGCUUAACCGUAGUAGGCUUUGGAAACUGUUUAACUUGAGUGCAAGAGGGGAGAGUGGAAUUCCAUGUGUAGCGGUGAAAUGCGUAGAUAUAUGGAGGAACACCGGUGGCGAAAGCGGCUCUCUGGCUUGUAACUGACGCUGAGGCUCGAAAGCGUGGGGAGCAAACAGGAUUAGAUACCCUGGUAGUCCACGCCGUAACGAUGAGUGCUAGGUGUUAGACCCUUUCCGGGGUUUAGUGCCGCAGCUAACGCAUUAAGCACUCCGCCUGGGGGAGUACGACCGCAAGGUU
rnacentral:rRNA from 1 species